UACAAUAUAAAUCAAUUGCUUUUAAAAAGCAAUUGUAAACGGUCUUUCCCCCCUUUGAAACAUGAUUGUGUGUGUGUGUGUGUUUGUUUGUGUGUUUGUUUGUGUGUUUGUGUGUGUUUUUGUGUUUGUUUGUUUGUUUGUUUGUUUGUUUGUUUGUUUGUUUGUUUCUGUAAGGGGUCUAUAUUAUUCCGGGGAAGUUUCAUGUU
rnacentral:lncRNA from 1 species